rnacentral:rRNA from 1 species
ACACAUGCAAGUCGAGCGGAAACGAUCCUAGCUUGCUAGGAGGCGUCGAGCGGCGGACGGGUGAGUAAUGCAUAGGAAUCUGCCCGGUAGUGGGGGAUAACUUGAGGAAACUCAAGCUAAUACCGCAUACGCCCUACGGGGGAAAGCAGGGGCUCUUCGGACCUUGCGCUAUCGGAUGAGCUUAUGUCGGAUUAGCUGGUUGGUGAGGUAACGGCUCACCAAGGCGACGAUCCGUAGCUGGUCUGAGAGGAUGAUCAGCCACAUCGGGACUGAGACACGGCCCGAACUCCUACGGGAGGCAGCAGUGGGGAAUAUUGGACAAUGGGGGCAACCCUGAUCCAGCCAUGCCGCGUGUGUGAAGAAGGCCCUCGGGUUGUAAAGCACUUUCAGCGAGGAAGAAUGCUUGUCGGUUAAUACCCGGCAAGGGAGACAUCACUCGCAGAAGAAGCACCGGCUAACUCCGUGCCAGCAGCCGCGGUAAUACGGAGGGUGCGAGCGUUAAUCGGAAUUACUGGGCGUAAAGCGUGCGUAGGCGGCUUGAU